rnacentral:rRNA from 1 species
UACGGAGGGGGCUAGCGUUGUUCGGAAUUACUGGGCGUAAAGCGCACGUAGGCGGCUUUGUAAGUUAGAGGUGAAAGCCCGGGGCUCAACUCCGGAAUUGCCUUUAAGACUGCAUCGCUAGAAUUGUGGAGAGGUAAGUGGAAUUCCGAGUGUAGAGGUGAAAUUCGUAGAUAUUCGGAAGAACACCAGUGGCGAAGGCGACUUACUGGACACAUAUUGACGCUGAGGUGCGAAAGCGUGGGGAGCAAGACGG